GGAGGGGGAAGAGGGGGAGGAGGGCGAAAGAAGAGGAAGAGAGGAGAAAGAGGGCGAGGAGGUGGGAGAGGAAGAGUGGGAGGGAGAGGAGAAAGGAUGAAGAGGUGAUAGAGGGACGCGAAGGAGGAAGAGGAGCAAGAGGAGGAGGAGGAGGAAGAGAGGGGAAGGAGGAGGGAGAGGAGAAAGAAGGGAUAGGAAGAGAGGGAAUGCUGUUUAGAUGCUGGGCUGUGUUCCUUGGAGACUGUUGCUACAUACAGAAGAGCCCCUGGACCUGCUCUGAAGGUGGGACACCGUGGGGAGGGAAAGGCCGAAGGAGGAGAGGAACAUAAAAUGGAACUGGCUUCAGCAGACGGCUCCUCGGACCGCGGGGGUCGCGGUUCGAUCGCCGCCUCGCCUCUUUGAUUUUGUACAUCGUCCCGCCUCCUCGCGCCGGGGGGCUGUUGAUUGGCAGUGUCCAGGUCCAAUGAGGUGGCAGAGUGAGU